UUCCACUCUGCCCAUUGAUCGGAGCUCCAGGUAGGCCGCUUCGCCUCUCUCCCCUCACCGAGACGUCGCCCUACUGGGCGCCACAGCGGCAGCUCGUGAACAACGGCUACCCUCGCAAGGUAAGUUCGUUUAGGUAGGGCUUUUCUUUGCGUUAGGAGUAAGACAGAUUUGGAAAGCGAAGCUGCUUGCAACGAGCUAAGAGGUAUGCUAGAGGCGAUCAAGAAAUCGUGUUGAAACUCGCAACGCUUGAAGGAACUCUCAACGCGAAGGGACACUCACCGACGUGGACAACGCUGUUUGAGUACGAACAAAACUAACGACCAACGAUACUUGGUUUUACGUUGCCAGGUUCGCGUGUGUUUCGAUUUGUUCUAAUUUCUUGUCAUUGAGAAGCCAAGUGACAUGCUGGUGCUGCCCAACGACAAUAGGAACUGAAAAACGCCAUGUCACAGCGUGUGCCAAGAAGAAAACUGCUACUAGAUUGGAGAGAUUUUGUGUCAACGUUUUGGAGAGAUUGUCAGCGCUUUGAGUUGUGUUGUUGCUGCGUUCAACGCAAGACCUGCGAGCUGAGAAACAACGGCGAUCUCAGAACUUCAAUCCAGCUGAAAAU
rnacentral:lncRNA from 1 species